GAAGGUAUAGCUCGAAGUGGUAGAGCACAUGCUUGCAUGCAUGAGGUCUUGGGUUCAAUCCCCAGUACCUCA
rnacentral:tRNA from 1 species